rnacentral:SRP_RNA from 2 species
GAAGGUUGGUGGUGGACGAGCCACUCGCCAACUGGGUCAGGUCCGGAAGGAAGCAGCCCUAACGAGAUCCGGCACGGGUCAUCGUGCCAGCCUUCCAC